GACGAACGCUGGCGGCGUGCUUAACACAUGCAAGUCGAACGGAAAGGCCCUGCUUGCAGGGUACUCGAGUGGCGAACGGGUGAGUAACACGUGGGUGAUCUGCCCUGCACUUCGGGAUAAGCUUGGGAAACUGGGUCUAAUACCGGAUAGGAACCAUCUUUAGUGUGGUGGUUGGAAAGUUUUUUCGGUGUAGGAUGAGCUCGCGGCCUAUCAGCUUGUUGGUGGGGUAAUGGCCUACCAAGGCGGCGACGGGUAGCCGGCCUGAGAGGGUGUACGGCCACAUUGGGGCUGAGAUACGGCCCAGACUCCUACGGGAGGCAGCAGUGGGGAAUAUUGCACAAUGGGCGCAAGCCUGAUGCAGCGACGCCGCGUGGGGGAUGAAGGCCUUCGGGUUGUAAACUCCUUUCGCUAGGGACGAAGCUUUUUGUGACGGUACCUAGAUAAGAAGCACCGGCUAACUACGUG
rnacentral:rRNA from 1 species